UUAGUACUCCCUCCGUCCCAAAAUUCUUGUCUUAGAUUUGUCUAAAUACGGAUGUAUCUAGUUACGUUUUAGUGUUAGAUACAUCUGUAUGUAGACAAUCUAAGACAAGAAUUUUGGGACGGAGGGAGAAGUUA
rfam:Triticum aestivum genome assembly, contig: Triticum_aestivum_CS42_TGACv1_scaffold_621601_7DS